rnacentral:rRNA from 1 species
UGCAGGCUGCAACUCGCCUGCAUGAAGUCGGAAUUGCUAGUAAUCGCGGAUCAGCAUGCCGCGGUGAAUACGUUCUCGGGCCUUGUACACACCGCCCGUCACACCAUGGGAGUCGGUAACACCCGAAGUCUGUAGCCUGACGCAAGAGGGCGCAGCCGAAGGUGGGAUUGAUGACUGGGGUGAAGUCGUAACAAGGUAGC